GGGGUUGUAGGUUAACCCGGCUAGACUGAACGCCUCCAGAGCGUUUGAUCCAGGUUCAAAUCCUGGCAACCCCA
rnacentral:tRNA from 1 species